UCUUUCUUUUUUUACUAAAUACAAAAUUCAAAGGAAAUCUCAAGCUUUCAUGAAUUAAUUGGCUUACUACAGAGGAUAGCAGCAGCCUCAAAGAUCACUCCAUGCAUACACAGCCAUCUCUCUCUCACACACACACACUGCCAACUCUCUCUCAGGCACACGCACACAGCCAUCUCUCUCACACACAGCCAUCUCUCUCACACACACACAGCCAUCUCUCUCUCACACAGCCAUCUCUCUCACACACACAGUCAUCUCUCUCUCACACACACAGCCAUCUCUCUCACACACACAGUCAUCUCUCUCACACACACACAGCCAUCUCUCUCAGGCACACACACUGCCAUCUCUCUCAC
rnacentral:lncRNA from 1 species